rnacentral:rRNA from 1 species
AGAGUUUGAUCCUGGCUCAGGAUGAACGCUAGCGGCAGGCUUAAUACAUGCAAGUCGUGGGGCAGCAUGACUGUAGCAAUACAGUUGAUGGCGACCGGCAAACGGGUGCGGAACACGUACACAACCUUCCUUUUAGUGGAGAAUAGCCCAGGGAAACUUGGAUUAAUACUCCGUAACAUAUAGAAGUGGCAUCACUUUUAUAUUAAAGCAGCAAUGCGCUAGAAGAUGGGUGUGCGGCUGAUUAGAUAGUUGGCGGGGUAACGGCCCACCAAGUCGACGAUCAGUAACUGGUGUGAGAGCACGACCAGUCACACGGGCACUGAGACACGGGCCCGACUCCUACGGGAGGCAGCAGUAAGGAAUAUUGGUCAAUGGACGCAAGUCUGAACCAGCCAUGCCGCGUGGAGGAUGAAGGUCCUCUGGAUUGUAAACUUCUUUUAUCUGGGAAGAAGUCCAUUUUUUCUAAAAUGGUUGACGGUACCAGAUGAAUAAGCACCGGCUAACUCCGUGCCAGCAGCCGCGGUAAUACGGAGGGUGCAAGCGUUAUCCGGAUUCACUGGGUUUAAAGGGUGCGUAGGUGGGUAAGUAAGUCAGUGGUGAAAUCUCCGGGCUUAACCCGGAAACUGCCAUUGAUACUAUUUGUCUUGAAUACUGUGGAGGUCAGCGGAAUAUGUCAUGUAGCGGUGAAAUGCUUAGAUAUGACAUAGAACACCAAUUGCGAAGGCAGCUGGCUACACAAAUAUUGACACUGAGGCACGAAAGCGUGGGGAUCAAACAGGAUUAGAUACCCUGGUAGUCCACGCCCUAAACUAUGGAUACUCGACAUUUGCGAUAAACUGCAAGUGUCUGAGCGAAAGCAUUAAGUAUCCCACCUGGGAAGUACGAUCGCAAGAUUGAAACUCAAAGGAAUUGACGG